UAUAUAUAUAAAUUAAUUAUUAUUAUAUUAUUUAUUAUUAUCUUUUAAUAAAAAUAAUUUUAUGUUAUAGUAUUUUUUAUAGAAUUAAUAAUUUAUUAUUUAUAGUUUAUUUUACUGUGAAGUAUUUUUGAUUUUAUAGUUAAAGUAGAAUUUGAUUUUUGUACCUUUUGUAUCAGGGUUUAUUAAAUAAUCCCAUAUAUAUAUGGUUAUCCCGAAAUUAUAAGUGCUAUUUUCUUUUGCUUCAUAUUAUUGCAUAAAUAAUUGUAAAUUGAUUAUAGGAGUUAUAUGCUAUUCAUUUAUAAAUAUCUGGUUUCUUAAGAAUUAAAUUUAAUUUAGGAUUUAUUUUUAAUUAGUUAAAUUAAAUUAUAUUUAAUUCAAAUAUUUCUAACAUUUAAGGGGAUAAGCUCUUUUUUGUUUUUAUAACAUUUUAUUGUUUAUUAUUGUAUUAGUUUUGUAGGUUUGGAAACGGUCAUCAUUUAUUUCGUUAUAGUUUAUCUAAUUCUGGUUUUUAUUUAUUUAGUGUUUAAAUUUUUAUUAAGAUUCUGAUUUGAAUUAUUUAUUUCAGUUAAUAAUGAUAAAAUUAGUAAUUUUGUUAUUUUUAAUAUAGGAACUCGGCAAAUUUAGUAUUCACCUGUUUAUCAAAAACAUGUCCUAUUGUUAAUUAUUUUAUUUUAGGUCUGUCCUGCCCUAUGAGUUUAUAUCUUGAAUGGCCGCGGUAAUUUGACCGUGCGAAGGUAGCAUAAUCAUUUGUCUAUUAAUUGUAGGCUUGUAUGAAUGGUUUAAUGUAAUAUUAUCUUUCUUUGUUUUAUAAUUGUGAACUUAAUAUUUUAGUGAAAAAGCUUAAAUUUAUUUGGAGGACGAGAAGACCCUAUAGAAUUUUAUUUACUGGUUUUUAAUCAUUUUUGGUAAAUCAAUAUAUGGUUUAAUAUUUAGUAAAUUUUGUUGGGGCGACAUGGAAAUUUUUUUAACUUUCUGUAUUAAUAUUGUUAUUGAUUUAUAUAUUAAAGAUCCUUUAUUAUGGAUUAUUAGAUUAAAUUACCUUAGGGAUAACAGCGUAAUUUUUAUGGAGAGUUCUUAUCGAUAUAAGAGUUUGCGACCUCGAUGUUGGAUUAAACUUAGGUUUAGGUGCAGAAGCUUAAAUAUCUAGGUCUGUUCGACCUUUAAUUGUUUACAUGAUCUGAGUUCAGACCGGCGUGAGCCAGGUUGGUUUCUAUCCUCAAUUGUUAAUUAUAUGUUCUAGUACGAAAGGACCGAUACAUAUUAAAUAAUUUAUUUUUUAUGAAUUUUAUUAAAU
rnacentral:rRNA from 1 species